CAUAUACUCCCUCCAUCCCAAAAUUCUUGUCUUAGAUUUGUUAGAUACGGAUGUAUCUAAUACUAAAACGUGACUUGAUACAUCCGUAUUUAGACAAAUAUAAGACAAGAAUUUUGGGACGGAGGGAGUAGUAG
rnacentral:pre_miRNA from 1 species